rnacentral:rRNA from 1 species
AUUGAACGCUGGCGGCAGGCCUAACACAUGCAAGUCGAGCGGAUGAGUGGAGCUUGCUCCAUGAUUCAGCGGCGGACGGGUGAGUAAUGCCUAGGAAUCUGCCUAUUAGUGGGGGACAACGUUUCGAAAGGAACGCUAAUACCGCAUACGUCCUACGGGAGAAAGCAGGGGACCUUCGGGCCUUGCGCUAAUAGAUGAGCCUAGGUCGGAUUAGCUAGUUGGUGAGGUAGUGGCUCACGAAGGCGACGAUCCGUAACUGGUCUGAGAGGAUGAUCAGUCACACUGGAACUGAGACACGGUCCAGACUCCUACGGGAGGCAGCAGUGGGGAAUAUUGGACAAUGGGCGAAAGCCUGAUCCAGCCAUGCCGCGUGUGUGAAGAAGGUCUUCGGAUUGUAAAGCACUUUAAGUUGGGAGGAAGGGUUGUACGUUAAUACCGUGCAACUUUGACGUUACCGACAGAAUAAGCACCGGCUAACUCUGUGCCAGCCGCCGCCGUAA